CCUACGGGUGGCAGCAGUGGGGGAUAUUGCACAAUGGGGGAAACCCUGAUGCAGCGACGCCGCGUGAGUGAAGAAGUAUUUCGGUAUGUAAAGCUCUAUCAGCAGGGAAGAAAAUGACAGUACCUGACCAAGAAGCCCCGGCUAACUACGUGCCAGCAGCCGCGGUAAUACGUAGGGGGCAAGCGUUAUCCGGAUUUACUGGGUGUAACGGGAGCGUAGACGGUUAUGUAAGUCUGGAGUGAAAGCCCGGGGCCCAACCCCGGGACUGCUUUGGAAACUGUGUGACUGGAGUGCGGGGGGGGCAGGCGGAAUGCGUGGUGUAGCGGUGAAAUGCGUAGAUAUCAGGAGGAACCCCGGCGGCGAAGGGGGCCGGCUGGACUGAAACGGACGGGGAGGCUGGAAGGCGGGGGGAGAAAACAGGAUUAGAUACCCGGGUAGUC
rnacentral:rRNA from 1 species